AGAGUUUGAUUAUGGCUCAGAACGAACGCUGGCGGCAUGCCUCAUACAUGCAAGUCGAACGAAGUCUUCGGACUUAGUGGCGCACGGGUGAGUAACAUGUGGGAAUCUACCUGAAGGUUCGGAAUAACUGCGGGAAACUGUAGCUAAUACCGGAUGUGUCUGCAAAGAGAAAGAUUUAUCGCCUUCAGAUGAGCCCGCACUAGAUUAGCUAGUUGGUGAGGUAAUUGCUCCACCAAGGCUACGAUCUAUAGCUGAUUUGAGAGGAUGAUCAGCCACACUGGGACUGAGACACGGCCCAGACUCCUACGGGAGGCAGCAGUAGGGAAUAUUGGACAAUGGGGGAAACCCUGAUCCAGCAAUGCCGCGUGAGUGAAGAAGGCCUUCGGGUUGUAAAACUCUUUCAUCAACGAUGAUAAUGACAUUAAUUGAAGAAGAAGCUCCGGCUAACUUCGUGCCAGCAGCCGCGGUAAUACGAAGGGGGCUAGCGUUGUUCGGAAUCACUGGGCGUAAAGCGUAUGUAGGCGGAUCAAAAAGUUAGAUGUGAAAUCCCUGGGCUCAACCCAGGAACUGCAUUUAAAACUAGUGAUCUAGAAUUUGGUAGGGGUUAGUAGAAUUUCCAGUGUAGAGGUGAAAUUCGUAGAUAUUGGAAAGAAUACCAGUGGCGAAGGCGACUAACUGGGCCAUUUUUGACGCUGAGAUACGAAAGCGUGGGUAGCAAACAGGAUUAGAUACCCUGGUAGUCCACGCAGUAAACGAUGAGUGCUAGUCGCUGGGACAAUAGUUUCAGUGUCGAAGCUAACGCAUUAAGCACUCCGCCUGGGAAGUACGGUCGCAAGAUUAAAACUCAAAUAAAUUGACGGGGGCCCGCACAAGCGGUGGAGCAUGUGGUUUAAUUCGAAGCAACGCGAAGAACCUUACCAGACCUUGACAUGGUGUGUAUGAAUUACAGAAUCGUAAUUCUUCAGUUCGGCUGGCAUACACACAGGUGCUGCAUGGCUGUCGUCAGCUCGUGUCGUGAGAUGUUGGGUUAAGUCCCGCAACGAGCGCAACCCUCAUUUUUAGUUGCCAUCAGGUUAAGCUGGGCACUCUAAAAAAACUGCCGGUGAUAAGCUGGAGGAAGGCGGGGAUGACGUCAAGUCCUCAUGGCCCUUACGGUCUGGGCUACACACGUGCUACAAUGGUGGUGACAGUGGGCAGCAAUACUGCAAAGUAAAGCUAAUCCCAAAAAACCAUCUCAGUUCGGAUUGGACUCUGCAACUCGAGUCCAUGAAGUUGGAAUCGCUAGUAAUCGUAGAUCAGCGUGCUACGGUGAAUACGUUCUCGGGCCUUGUACACACCGCCCGUCACGCCAUGGGAGUUGGUUUUACCUUAAGCCG
rnacentral:rRNA from 1 species